rnacentral:misc_RNA from 1 species
CCAAUAGCGUAUAUUAAAGUUGUUGCAGUUAAAAAGCUCGUAGUUGAAUUUCGGGGUUAGUAGGUUGGUCAUGCCUCUGGUAUGUACUGGUCUCACUGAUUCCUCCUUCCUGAUGAGCCGUAAUGCCAUUAAUUUGGUGUUGCGGGGAAUUUGGACUGUUACUUUGAAAAAAUUAGAGUGUUUAAAGCAAGCUAACGCUUGAAUACAUUAGCAUGGAAUAAUGAAAUAGGACGUUCGAUCCUAUUUUGUUGGUUUCUAGGAUUGACGUAAUGAUUAAUAGGGAUAGUUGGGGGCAUUAGUAUUCAAUUGUCAGAGGUGAAAUUCUUGGAUUUAUUGAAGACUAACUACUGCGAAAGCAUUUGCCAAGGAUGUUUUCAUUAAUCAAGAACGAAAGUUAGGGGAUCGAAGAUGAUCAGAUACCGUCGUAGUCUUAACCAUAAACUAUGCCGACUAGGGAUCGGAUGAUGUUAAUUUUUUAAUGACUCAUUCGGCGCCUUACG